UAAACGUAUCUGCGACAUGGGGUGGCAUUGUUCUAUCGAAAAUCGUCGUGUUUGGAUGUGUAACCUUGCUCGAUGCGCUUCGCUGUGCCUAUUACCGUGUGUCACGUACUUCCAUUGCUCUUUCAUUGUUGGCUGACGCGUGGAUAACAUCGAAAGAAUAACAAUACCGUAUGAUGUCACGGGCGAUUGACAACCGAUACGACGUUCUGCUAUUUCUUACGUUCUCUUUUUUAUUCAUAAAGAUAUUAUCUUUAGGGAGGUAGAGCACGAUAAAAGAGAAAAUUGCGAGUGUUCCAAUACUUUUACCCGACGAUAUACCUGGUCUGUGGUUAUGUCAUACAACAAUGGUUUCUACUCCGCAAGUGUAACGUCCGGUUUCGUUUUCACGCUUCUUACGUUACGUCGAAACGCGAUACCCAGCGACGUCGCCGGGUUCAGUCCGCGACAUUCACGCUCAGUGAAUCCAUAUUCGGUUCUCCAUCGAAGAAAAUUGCGAAACGAUUCGCAAGUGCUCGCGGCCCGCUGCUAAAUACGGCGCCAACGACCGUAGUGCUUUUCGUCGUUCGCCAAUAUUCCUAGAUACUUCUAUAUACGAGGUGGUUAAAUGGUAGCAGCAGAGCGGAUCUUUCGUCGUUGCGGUGCACCGCAAUUUUCGACCUCUAAUUUUAUGGUUUUUCGUGGCGGACCCAACGGAGAGGAGGUCUGCCCUCUCAACCAGAAAUCCCGCACGGUGAAAUACCUUUCGCAUACGUUUACGUACGUGCAAUUAUCCUGUCGGUUACGCCGGUACACACCGAUUAUUUUCUUGGCGCGUCGCGUGACGAGCAUCGUCCUUUUUUCUUACCCUUUCAACCAUUCGACGAUGGACGAGAAUCUUCUCGAUGGAGCUACCGUGCCAAAGUAUUGUGUUUCAAUGUUUAUUUUUUCCUUUUCUUUCUUUUUUCGUUGGUUGGUUGUUUUUCUGACAAGUUAACACUCGCGCGUGUUCAGCUUCGCAGACGCUGUGAAAUUGAACACACGCAAGCGCCAAUUUGUAGAAAAGAUCGACGGUAUUCGCUUGAUCGCGAUUUCUCCGGGUUUGUCUAAUGAAAAUUUUAGGUCGAUCGACCCCUCGGGGGAAGGAUAACGGAAAAUUGAAAGAUCAGCGUCAUAGCCAGCCGCAUGAACAUUUUUCAUGGCUUGUUCACGGCUUGUUCGACGAGAAUGUUCGUUGCACGAUUUUUCAAAAAUAGUUAUCGCUAAAUUUAAUAAAAAAAGCCAGAAACUUUUUCAUUGAUUUCUAAUAUAGCAUAUGGCUGUCCGCGCUUGCCCAUCCAAUCUUGUUCGGCUUCAAAAUCAAUAAAAAUGUUCACCAGGCGCAGAUGUACAAUUUUUUGGAAUUUUCAUUCGGUGAUGACUUUUUCUUUUGAAAACUCGACGAACGAAAAUUGCUGUCGGACAAAUGUGCACAUAUCGUGGACAAUCAUAUCACGUUUACGAAUCAAUGAAAAGUGUUCAUGCGGGUGCUGAUGAUAAAUAUUGUCAUUUGACGAUAACUUUUUUUUUUUUAGAGGCGGAGAAAUGACAAUUUUGUUUGGACAAAUGUGGACGAUUCGCGGACAAACGAGUACUGAUUAUUUUUUUUGCGUGUAAAUUUGCACUUGGAAACGCCAGUUUCACGAACCGACUGGUGCAACUAUUAUUAGGUCUUUGCUUCCAUUCGAUACUGCAAUAGUUGCUACUUAUUCGAGGAUAUAUUUCGCAUUCUUACUCUCUGAAUCUUGGUAGUGAUUCAAAUAGUAAUUGCCAAUUAAGCUGGAUGAAACAAGAUUUCUAACGAAAAUUAUCCUCGAUGACAUUUUAAUUACGUUACGAUAUCAAAACACGCAGGAGGAAUUUGGUAGCGUUGGCAAGUUAUUUUGUUCACCAUAUAUACAAUUUCGUCAUUUUAUAUACCAUAAAUUUUCAUACAAUCAAUACUUGCGUUAAUUUAAAAAUAUCCAACUCGUUACUUUCGCUCGUAGUUAUUUUUCCAUUCGACUAUCCUUCGCUGAUUAUGGCCAAGUUUGUUAAUAAAUAGAAUAAUCCAUUAUUUUCUUUUACGAUGAGCAAGAUCACUGGCGAGAAGUGGAUCACAAUGUGCAAUAGGACGACAUCGCGUUGCAAAAUAGCUUGUUGUAAACGGUCACCGUGGAAACAUCGACGGUCAAGGAUUUUCCACGUCUUUUCCCCAAAGGCGUUGCUCUAUCGAUUAUCGGCAACGUGUUUUCUCCUCGUCACACGCGUCUUUGCUUCGAGAAUGUUUCACGUUUUCGUAUCCGUAGCAGCUGGAAAUAAAUUUCCAUUUUUAGUGCAAACACUGCGCCGCGACUUUGACCUUGCAGCUACUCCACAUUUCUAUCUUCGUCCAUAUGACGUAAGUUUAUCAACUUUCAUAGUCGUUCGAUAUUUCCAGGUUUAAUCGAUGAAAAUUCAUUCGAAUUGAUAGAGAGCGGUGUGCAGACGUUUUUAGCCGGACACAUCUUUCAGCUUGCGUUCCAACAUCGAGGGAAAAAUCUAUCCUAAAUUUUUGCACGUCGCUGUACCUAUACGUACGCCGAUGAAAUAGUUCGUACGAUAGAAAGGGUAUGGGUGAUGUAUGCAAAUUAAUUGCGUCGUGUAUUAUACCGUAAGCUUAAUCUUUUAAGCUUCUUUGCGCGCUAUGUGCGCUUCUCGCAUGUGCAUGUUAAUUGAAAAUCCAUGUGAAGCAGCAGUUUUCGCCUGAUUUAACGAGCUGAGAUCGUUUUCGAGACAAAUAUUCGCUGACUUUCACGAUUUGUUUGCCGUGUUUAAUUGCGCUCGCGCGUGAUCCACGUACCAUUUUCAGUGCAAACCCGGACCUCCGCGUUCAACACACCGAUUUCCACGUAAUUUUAUCGGAGAGUAACUCGCCGAUAAUUUUUAGUACGCGAGUAUGAUCGAUUUGCAGGAACAAUACAGGAAUAGCAUAGAACCUCUUUCGUGCUGUACACGCAACGAUCGUAACACGAGUUACUCAUUAAUCGUAUUACUUUAUUAAUUAUUUAUUAAUUAUCUGAUCGUCCUAUACGUUCCGAUGCGUCAUGUUUCUUCUGCAAGACACCCGACCGAUACAAAAAUUUUUGUCGCAGUUCAAAACGGAGUUUCAUUGCAGUAGAGUGGAAAGAAAAAUCGUCGAUUUAGGGGAAAAGUGGCGCACUUGGAAACUCGUCGAUUUUAAGCUACAUCUUGGAAACCUGAUUCUAAGAACACUUAUCUUUUUAAAACUAAAUUAUUGUUAUCGUUUCUUUAACAAAGUUACGCGGAUCACCUGUGAUUCGUAAAAUUUACAAAAUUUGUAAAAUUUCAGUUCAGUGAUAUCGGUUGGAUCGUGAACGAGUUUCCAGAGUGCUGUGUCGGGACGAGAGAAACGCCUGGGUCCGAAACAUACUUUUUAACCCCGAAAAAACGGUGAAAGGUAUCGAAUCCGUUCGAAUAGCAAUAAAUAUUUGGGAGAUCGCAACGCCGGAAGUGAAUCGUAUAAAAUACGUAUUGAUUAGAAAGAGGCGGCCAGAGAGGUGGGGCCAUUUGUCCAUUUAAUGGCGAAGAUCUUGACAAAAGGUCUACAAAUCCCUCGUGGAACGAGCGGCGCAUCGCGGGAUAAAGGAAAGUAAUGGAAAGCGGACAGUAAAUCUAGAGCAAAGCAGCAGCGGCAACUUCCUGGAAAAUUUCAAGUAUUUAUAGUUCUGCACGUAGGCAGCACCGAGUGCCAAGCUUUGGUAAACAGUAACCUGUUUCGUUUAUGUCGGAUGAAAAGGCGGUGAGUGUAUCUUUUACGGUGUUUCAAGGUCUCCGUCGCUCGUGCGUCUAUCGAAACGUUAUUAUUAUCAUUCGUUUUAUUUAACCAGUUAGUUAACCGUAGAAUUUAGUUUUAGAAAUGUCUCGUGAGAUUAGGUGAUGGCGUGCGUAAAUGAAUAAAACGACGACGAAUAUAAUUGAUGAUUAAUUAAUCCGUCAGAUAUAUUAAUUUUAAUCAACUAGAAAUUCUCCUGCAUAAAGGUAAUAAGUUUUUAGCGAUGAAUCGAUCAAAGUUCGGAUGCGUCAAUUUUCUAUAUUACACGCUGUGCAAUUAUUUUACUUUACGUUCAUCUACCGAUGAUAUCACUUACGAAGGUACUUUCUUUUUUCAACAGUUGACAGAGCAGCGUAGUUCUACGUUGAAGUUAGUGUUGGAGUGAACUAUUACGUUUUAUGUACGCCCUAUAGGUAUCUUUAAGAGCGAUGUUACACGACGUGCUUCUGUUGUCCUACUUUACAAUAGUUACGGCACUUUUUCACGACACCUCGGGAAAGCUUCGUACAACGUACGAUCUACCUACUGUAUAUUCUUUUAUGUAUUUUAUAUGUAGUAAGUAUGUUUUUACUAGCAAACGAUAACGCUUUCUUACGUCUACCAUAUACGUACUCGCAUACAUAUACGUUGCUCGAUGGCAUUUCGUUAAAUUAGGUACAAUAAUAUAGGAUUUUUUUUAAUUUAUUUAGAAAUAUUAGAAAUUAGGGUUUCCAGUGAUUUCUAUCCUAUAUGAUAAGUUUAUUGAUCGACAGAUCUAUUUACAAUGGAUUAAACAGGAAACGAUGGUUAUUUAACGUGAACUAAAUA